rnacentral:pre_miRNA from 1 species
CAAAUACUACCUCCGUCCGGAAAUACUUGUCAUCAAAAUGGAUAAAAGGAAAUGUAUCUAGACGUAUUUUAGUUUUAGAUACAUAUCUUUUUAUCCAUUUUGAUGACAAGUAUUUUCGGACGGAGGGAGUAGAAA